rnacentral:rRNA from 1 species
CAGGCCUAACACAUGCAAGUNGAGCGGNCAUAGCAAUAUGUCAGCGGCAGACGGGUGAGUAACGCGUGGGAACGUACCUUUUGGUUCGGAACAACACAGGGAAACUUGUGCUAAUACCGGAUAAGCCCUUACGGGGAAAGAUUUAUCGCCGAAAGAUCGGCCCGCGUCUGAUUAUCUAGUUGGUGAGGUAAUGGCUCACCAAGGCGACGAUCAGUAGCUGGUCUGAGAGGAUGAUCAGCCACAUUGGGACUGAGACACGGCCCAAACUCCUACGGGAGGCAGCAGUGGGGAAUAUUGGACAAUGGGCGCAAGCCUGAUCCAGCCAUGCCGCGUGAGUGAUGAAGGCCCUAGGGUUGUAAAGCUCUUUUGUGCGGGAAGAUAAUGACGGUACCGCAAGAAUAAGCCCCGGCUAACUUCGUGCCANCAGCCNCGGUAAUAC